UACGGAGGGUGCAAGCGUUGUCCGGAAUUACUGGGCGUAAAGGGCGCGUAGGCGGCUUCGCUAGUCGGGCGUGAAAUGCCUGGGCUUAACCCGGGAAUUGCGUUCGAUACUUCGAGGCUAGAGUGUGGGAGAGGUUGGUGGAAUUCCCAGUGUAGAGGUGAAAUUCGUAGAUAUUGGGAAGAACACCGGUGGCGAAGGCGGCCAACUGGACCACAACUGACGCUGAGGCGCGAAAGCGUGGGGAGCAAACAGG
rnacentral:rRNA from 1 species